rnacentral:rRNA from 1 species
GAUGAACGCUGGCGGCGUGCCUAAUACAUGCAAGUCGAGCGAACAGACGAGAGUGCUUGCACUCUCUGACGUUAGCGGCGGACGGGUGAGUAACACGUGGGUAACCUACCUAUAAGACUGGGAUAACUUCGGGAAACCGGAGCUAAUACCGGAUAAUAUUUAGCUUCGCAUGAAGCAAUAGUGAAAGACGGUUCUGCUGUCACUUAUAGAUGGACCCGCGGUGUAUUAGCUAGUUGGUGAGGUAACGGCUCACCAAGGCAACGAUACAUAGCCGACCUGAGAGGGUGAUCGGCCACACUGGGACUGAGACACGGCCCAGACUCCUACGGGAGGCAGCAGUAGGGAAUCUUCCGCAAUGGACGAAAGUCUGACGGAGCAAUGCCGCGUGAGUGAAGAAGGUUUUCGGAUCGUAAAACUCUGUUGUAAGGGAAGAACAAGUACGUUAGUAACUGAACGUACCUCGACGGUACCUUACCAGAAAGCCACGGCUAACUACGUG